UUUAUGGAGAGUUUGAUCCUGGCUCAGGAUGAACGCUGGCGGCGUGCCUAAUACAUGCAAGUCGAGCGAACGGACGAGAAGCUUGCUUCUCUGAUGUUAGCGGCGGACGGGUGAGUAACACGUGGAUAACCUACCUAUAAGACUGGGAUAACUUCGGGAAACCGGAGCUAAUACCGGAUAAUAUUUUGAACCGCAUGGUUCAAAAGUGAAAGACGGUCUUGCUGUCACUUAUAGAUGGAUCCGCGCUGCAUUAGCUAGUUGGUAAGGUAACGGCUUACCAAGGCAACGAUGCAUAGCCGACCUGAGAGGGUGAUCGGCCACACUGGAACUGAGACACGGUCCAGACUCCUACGGGAGGCAGCAGUAGGGAAUCUUCCGCAAUGGGCGAAAGCCUGACGGAGCAACGCCGCGUGAGUGAUGAAGGUCUUCGGAUCGUAAAACUCUGUUAUUAGGGAAGAACAUAUGUGUAAGUAACUGUGCACAUCUUGACGGUACCUAAUCAGAAAGCCACGGCUAACUACGUGCCAGCAGCCGCGGUAAUACGUAGGUGGCAAGCGUUAUCCGGAAUUAUUGGGCGUAAAGCGCGCGUAGGCGGUUUUUUAAGUCUGAUGUGAAAGCCCACGGCUCAACCGUGGAGGGUCAUUGGAAACUGGAAAACUUGAGUGCAGAAGAGGAAAGUGGAAUUCCAUGUGUAGCGGUGAAAUGCGCAGAGAUAUGGAGGAACACCAGUGGCGAAGGCGACUUUCUGGUCUGUAACUGACGCUGAUGUGCGAAAGCGUGGGGAUCAAACAGGAUUAGAUACCCUGGUAGUCCACGCCGUAAACGAUGAGUGCUAAGUGUUAGGGGGUUUCCGCCCCUUAGUGCUGCAGCUAACGCAUUAAGCACUCCGCCUGGGGAGUACGACCGCAAGGUUGAAACUCAAAGGAAUUGACGGGGACCCGCACAAGCGGUGGAGCAUGUGGUUUAAUUCGAAGCAACGCGAAGAACCUUACCAAAUCUUGACAUCCUUUGACAACUCUAGAGAUAGAGCUUUCCCCUUCGGGGGACAAAGUGACAGGUGGUGCAUGGUUGUCGUCAGCUCGUGUCGUGAGAUGUUGGGUUAAGUCCCGCAACGAGCGCAACCCUUAAGCUUAGUUGCCAUCAUUAAGUUGGGCACUCUAAGUUGACUGCCGGUGACAAACCGGAGGAAGGUGGGGAUGACGUCAAAUCAUCAUGCCCCUUAUGAUUUGGGCUACACACGUGCUACAAUGGACAAUACAAAGGGCAGCGAAACCGCGAGGUCAAGCAAAUCCCAUAAAGUUGUUCUCAGUUCGGAU
rnacentral:rRNA from 1 species